UACGGGGGGGGCAAGCGUUGUUCGGAAUUACUGGGCGUAAAGGGCUCGUAGGUGGCCAACUAAGUCAGACGUGAAAUCCCUCGGCUUAACCGAGGAACUGCGUCUGAUACUGGAUGGCUUGAGUUUGGGAGAGGGAAGCGGAAUUCCGGGUGUAGCGGUGAAAUGCGUAGAUAUCCGGAGGAACACCGGUGGCGAAGGCGGCUUCCUGGACCGAUUACUGACGCUGAGGCGCGAAAGCUAGGGGAGCAAACGGG
rnacentral:rRNA from 1 species